UUUCCCCCCUGUCUUUUAAUAUAUUUAAAAUAAAGAAUUGAUAUUUUUUUAAAUUGGUGUGUGUAUACAUAUACGUAUAAUUUUUUUUUUUUUUAAAUUAAAUAACAAUCGAGGUAUAUAUUUAUGAUACAAGUUACCCUCUGACAGACUGCUAGUUCUCCUCAUAGAGUGUCAGCUCCUCAGACUAUCUCCCCUGACAGACUGCUAGUUCUCCUCAUAGAGUUUAAGCUCCUCAGACCAGCCCCCCAGUGUAACUUCCCCUCUGACAGACUGCUAGUUCUCCCCAUAGAGUGUCAGCUCCUCAGACCAGCCCCACACGUGUAACUCCCCCUCUGACAGACUGCUAGUUCCCCUCAUAGAGCGUCAGCUCCUCAGACCAGCCCCC